rnacentral:misc_RNA from 1 species
GAUGAAGAACGUAGCGAAAUGCGAUACGUAAUGUGAAUUGCAGAAUUCAGUGAAUCAUCGAGACUUUGAACGCACAUUGCGCCCCCUGGUAUUCCGGGGGGCAUGCCUGUCCGAGCGUCAUUGCUGCCCUCAAGCCCGGCUUGUGUGUUGGGUCUCGUCCCCCUUCCCGGGGGGACGGGCCCGAAAGGCAGCGGCGGCACCGCGUCCGGUCCUCGAGCGUAUGGGGCUUUGUCACCCGCUCUGUAGGCCCGGCCGGCGCUUGCCGAUCAACCAAAACUUUUUUCCAGGUUGACCUCGGAUCAGGUAGGGAUACCCGCUGAACUUAAGCAUAUCAAUAAGCGGAGGA